GCUCUUUUCUAAUGGUGUGUUCUUAACGUUUAGAAACAUCUCAUAGGUAAUACAUAGUACCCCCUCAAGCCUAUUUAGCAACAAAAUAAUCCCCAAGCCCCAGUAAUAAAAAAUCCACAUGUUUAUAUCAUUCUUGCAGAUAUAGUUCUGUUUCAGGAUCAAGGACAUGAGAAGAAAGAACGCUGAUUUUUAGUGUAUUAUGUCCUUGUAGAGUAGACUGGCAAAUUUUUUCUUUGCUAUGGUGUUGCUAAUAUAGGAUCCUACUUUACAUUUUUACCACUUGUUUACAAAGCUGGUGUAUGGAUCUUUACACCUUGGAAUAUGAACGUAAAUGGUCACUACAGUAUUAUGGAAAGGAAGAAAUCUAACACAUGCAUUUCUCAGACUGCUUUCUCUUUCUUCUUCCAGGAAAAACCAGUUCAGUUAUUAAGGGAAGCUCUCAACACAGAGCAGAGCAAGAGAAGGCAGGGCUUCCGAGAGAAUAGCUGUGUACCAUCAAAGCGAAUUGGGUUGCACACAGACAUGGUAUAUCAUACACGAGACAAAGAUUUCAAGACCAGUUCUGUCAAAUGGCUGAGACCCAACCUUGCCUGGUGAUGGUGGGGAUGUUGACAUGCUGUGCCUCCUGGCUUCAUUCUAAGUAAAUAAAUCAAUAAUAACUCUUUUGAGCCUUUCACCUUUCUU
rnacentral:lncRNA from 1 species